GGCGCGUUGGUGAAGUGGCUUAACACACCGCCCUUUCACGGCGGCAUUCACGGGUUCGAAUCCCGUACGCGUCACUA
rnacentral:tRNA from 1 species